rnacentral:rRNA from 1 species
AUUGAACGCUGGCGGCAGGCUUAACACAUGCAAGUCGAGCGGGGGAAGGUAGCUUGCUACCGGACCCAGCGGCGGACGGGCGAGUAAUGCUUAGGAAUCUGCCUAUUAGUGGGGGACAACAUCUCGAAAGGGAUGCUAAUACCGCAUACGUCCUACGGGAGAAAGCAGGGGAUCUUCGGACCUUGCGCUAAUAGAUGAGCCUAAGUCGGAUUAGCUAGUUGGUGGGGUAAAGGCCUACCAAGGCGACGAUCUGUAGCGGGUCUGAGAGGAUGAUCCGCCACACUGGGACUGCGACACGGCCCAGACUCCUACGGGAGGCAGCAGUGGGGAAUAUUGGACAAUGGGGGGAACCCUGAUCCAGCCAUGCCGCGUGUGUGAAGAAGGCCUUAUGGUUGUAAAGCACUUUAAGCGAGGAGGAGGCUACUUUAGUUAAUACCUAGAGAUAGUGGACGUUACUCGCAGAAUGAGCACCGGCUAACUCUGUGCCAGCCGCCGCAGUAA